UACGUAGGGGGCGAGCGUUGUCCGGAGUUACUGGGCGUAAAGGGCAUGCAGGCGGUCCGACACGUUUUGUGUGACAGCGGGUGGCUUAACUACCCGAGGAUGCGAAAGACGGUUGGACUUGAGGACUCGGAGAGGGACGACGGAAUUCCGGGUGGAGGUGGUGGAAAUGACGUAGAGAUCCGGAGGAACACCGAAGGCGAAGGCAGUGAUCCGUGGCGAGUGACUGACGCUGAGGUGCGAAAGCCAGGGGAGCGAACGGG
rnacentral:rRNA from 1 species